rnacentral:lncRNA from 1 species
UGGGGUCUUAGAACCAGAAGGCUGUGCCACUGACUGCUUGACUUUCCCCUCGAUGAUAGCACUAGCCUCCAUCCUCCUAGCCAUAUCCACUAUGGCAUGAAAGCUCUCCCUAUCUGCGGACUGAAUCAAGGAGGAAUACCUGGAGUGAAGUUUCAUGAUAUACCUCCUUGACUUCUUCUGAUCUGUGUCAAGAGUUUGCCCUGCAAACGGCAAC